GACGAACGCUGGCGGCGUGCUUAACACAUGCAAGUCGAACGGAAAGGCCUUUUCGGAGGUACUCGAGUGGCGAACGGGUGAGUAACACGUGGGUGAUCUGCCCUGCACUCUGGGAUAAGCCUGGGAAACUGGGUCUAAUACCGGAUAGGACCGCACUUUAGUGUGUGUGGUGGAAAGUUUUUUCGGUGUAGGAUGAGCCCGCGGCCUAUCAGCUUGUUGGUGGGGGAAUGGCCUACCAAGGCGGCGACGGGUAGCCGGACUGAGAGGUUGGUAGGCCACAUUGGGACUGAGAUACGGCCCAGACUCCUACGGGAGGCAGCAGGGGGGAAUAUUGCACAAUGGGCGCAAGCCUGAUGCAGCGACGCCGCGUGGGGGAUGACGGCCUUCGGGUUGUAAACGCCUUUCGCCAGGGACGAAGCGUUUUGUGACGGUACCUGGAGAAGAAGCACCGGCUAACUACGUG
rnacentral:rRNA from 1 species